rnacentral:misc_RNA from 1 species
AACAACACACACAACAUUAUACGCACCCCUUCCUUUAUCGUUUCUCACGCACUCGUCCAGUAAGGACCGUCUCUUGUGUUUGCUGUUCGCCCUCAUUACUCUCUCACACUCCCCACUGGCUCUCGCUGCUCCCACACCUCUUCGCACGCUGCCUCACCCUCCAUCCUUUGCUUCCCUUCCUGUCUGUUUUCCGGUGCACUUCAGCCGCAUCCUUCACGCGCGAGUGUCGCUUGAUCGUGCACCCUACUCUCAGCGCAUAAGCGAAUUCAGCCUCACUCUUCGUAUCAUUUCUCCUUUUUUUUUCGGCUUGCUGAGCCGCCAUCAGCAGCUGUUUUUUGUGGGCUCCUCCGCCUUUAGUCCGUUGGCCAUUUUUGUCGACGCCUUUGCGAACGGGUAUCUGUCUGAGAGUGCACGAACUCCUUCAUCCUGCGCUCAUCGCUUCGCACGGCUUCCUCAUCAACCUUCAGAAAGCGCCUUUCUUUCGCUUUUCAUUUUUCCUCAUCCUUUUUUUUUCGUUUCAUUCUCUGCCUGCGGCGCUCUGCAAGAUGCUGCGGCGUCUCGCCUGUGCUUUCUUAACCGCAGCGCUGGGCGUCUUUUUCGUGCUACUCGGAUCUGAUGCCGCGAUGGCCCACGCUGCUGAGGACAUGCCUUUGUCUUUGCAAAUUGAGAAGGCGAGAUUCAGCGAUUCUGAACCUCGCUACUCAUUUACGACGGUGCAGAAGCUGAACACGCUGAAGAUUCUGCAGGCGUUUGCUGAAGCGAUACCGUCGCUGGGGUGGACCGGGACAGACUUCUGCAAGUGGCCAAGUGUGACAUGCUACCAGUCGACUGUCCUAUUUACGGUCAGCGGCAUCAGCGUGAAAGGCACCCUUCCUGAUUUGCCUGAUGCUGUUGACUACUCGCAUGUGAUGAUCACAACCAUCAACUUGUUUAAUCAGAAGUCCUCAAUCAGUGGCACGCUGCCGAGCAGCUGGGGAAAGCUGCAGCACCUCGUCACCCUUAACAUGGGAUCCACCAGCGUGUCUGGCACUCUUCCUGCGUCAUGGGGCUCGCUGCGUGCGGUAACGUUCAUCUCACUUCCGAAGACGUCAAUCUCUGGCUCGCUGCCCGCCUCGUGGAGAUCGAUGAGCUCUCUCGCCACGUUGAUCUUGUACGACACUCAGCUCAGCGGUACUUUGCCGCCGGAGUGGAGCUCGAUGGCUUCUAUGGGCAUUCUCCAACUGCAUCAAAACCAGUUCACUGGUAGCCUCCCAGCGUCAUGGGCGCAGAUGCCUGCAUUGAGAAGGCUCUCACUGAUCGCCAACAACUUCUGCGGCUGCGUCCCUGACUCGUGGAGGCGAGCUUCCUUUCGGGUGACUGUCGACCCCCAAAACUCUGCCGCCAACUGCGCUACGGCUAACUCCUGCGACCCGACGACCACGACGACCGAGGCACCGACAACCACGACGACCGAGGCACCGACGACCACGACGACCGAGGCACCGACGACCACGACGACCGAGGCACCGACGACCACGACGACCGAGGCACCGACAACCACGACGACCGAGGCACCGACGACCACGACGACCGAGGCACCGACGACCACGACGACCGAGGCACCGACGACCACGACGACCGAGGCACCGACGACCACGACGACCGAGGCACCGACGACCACGACGACCGAGGCACCGACAACCACGACGACCGAGGCACCGACAACCACGACGACCGAGGCACCGACGACCACGACGACCGAGGCACCGACGACCACGACGACCGAGGCACCGACGACCACGACGACCGAGGCACCGACGACCACGACGACCGAGGCACCGACAACCACGACGACCGAGGCACCGACGACCACGACGACCGAGGCACCUUCUGAGUGCGAGGUGCCGCAUUGUAUUACCUGCGUUCGCGGAAACCCGACGCGGUGUGAUGUGUGCGCAUCUGGCUACAUGGUAACUGCAGCGCAAUGGUGCAUGAAGCGGCCCAGCGCUGAUUUGGCUUCGUCGCCGUCAUCGACGGCGCUUAACGCAGCCACGUCCCUUGGUGUGCUUGCCGCUGUUCUCCUGUCGAUGUAGUACGAACCUGCACUAGGGCAAGUAAUCGCAAAUGCCACGAAUGGGGAAGAGCUCUCGCUCAGUGUACGUGCGUGAUGGCAUUUAUAGGUUUUGUGCCCCGUGCUGUUGCGCAAGCUCUGCCAGAUGCUCUUCGAAGCAAGGCAUGGGGUUUGCGAGGAAGUGGUUGACGGAGGAUAGCUUGCGGUUUUGGGAAAACGGGAUAGGUCUCUGUGAUGCGAUAAGCUGUGCCGGACAGCCCCACCCCUCGCGUGCUCGGGAGGGGCAAAAGGGAAAAGAGACAACGCCGAUCAGCUGCUGCAUUGCUUGCCGGGCCCGACAGCACUUCCAAAUUGUCGGGGCGGACGCUUACUCAUGGCGGUGUGUGCGAUAGAACUUGCUUGGGCGUGCGACAGGACAGGGCACCGACAAGGUGCGCUCCGUCAAUGGGUCUCAGCAAGCUAAGGCGGUGACGCGGUGGCACUUGGAUGAGCUUCAUUUGCUCUAAACAUCGACGCUGGCUUCUCCAGGCAUGUCGCCCUCUUUUCAGCGUUGUUGUUUUUCUUUUUGAUAUUGCGUCGCUACUCGGUGUAGCGCCAGCCACGUCGUCGUGAGGCUGUUUUCUGCCUUUUUCUCUUCAAAGGAUCCUCAGAGCCAAGCCAAGCCAAGGCAGGCAGUGCCGUGGACGUUCUGCCGCCUCCUCUGCCUACCCCUCCAGAAGAACGAGCACGAAAAAAAAACAAGCGAACAAAGAAGACAGCAGACGCGUAAGAAAAAUAAAACACAACAUCACCGCUGGGAUGGUCGGAAGUCUCCGUUAAACCGUGCCGCCCGCCUCCCCCGCCCAUUCGAGAUGGAAGCAGGAGGCCCAUGCUUUUAUUUGCCUCUUUUCUUUACCGCUCUUUGGUAUUACUUGCCUGCCAAGCGCCGAUUUGUCAAUCGGCAGUACGUGCCGAUAUUCUCUGGUCUUUAUUUUGUUUUUCAAACGUUCAUGUACCACGUCGCGCAAGCUCGAGAAAUGUGUGAAUGCGCCCAUGCUCCCCUCUCCACUGACGUGAUUGCCUGUGCACUACUUGCUGCGUGGUCUGCGGGUGGAAGCCGCUGCGUAUGCGCAUGUUUGUGUGUGUUUGUACUUGCUCGUGCAUGUUCUCCCUUUCAUGCUCAUUAGCAGCACUUUCUGGGGAUCGUCCGGCGUCUAUUUCUUCUGCACCCCUUCUUGAUUUUCUUAUGGUAGGCCGUUAGCUCUUCCUCGGCUCAAUCGUUCUUUUCGCUCUCCCUCCCUCUACGCCUCACAUGGGCACUUGGUGUGCCCCCCCCCCCCCCCCCGAGUGCCCAUACUACAGGUGUGCCUCAAGCUCUCCAUCUUCUUCCUCCUUCGCCCUCCCUGCAGCGUUUCACCAUGCGCUUCUUUGACUUCUUUUCAUUGCGUGGCUCACCUUCUUCGGGCAUGCGACGGCAUAUCUGCGCCGUUUCGACCCCUCGAGGCUCAUCGUGAGACAAAAGAGACGGAAGGAACGAUGGCUUAUGGCACUCACGGGGUCCAGGAACAGCUGAUGGGGGGGGAGUUAUACGCACUCUUCGAGCAUGCUUUGCCACCUUUCUUGUUUGUUUCGAUAUGCAUUUACGUGUGUUCGUUUCUUACAUUUUCUUCGAGCCGGCGCUUCGUGCAGGGCUCGGGACGCAUAACAUUUGCACACAGCGAAAACAGAAAGCAUUACAUGAUAUACUUGGAUGGCAUGCGCUUCUCUGCACGUGGGUAGACGUUCUGGGCAGAACUGGUAUGGCGAGCCUUCUCGUCCAGCAUAAGCAGUUGCCUCUCAUCGCAGCGUCGCCUGCUGUUCUCUUUCCCGCAACGCUCAUCACCUCACUCUCAUGAUGUUUUUCGCCAGCUCUUAUUUUUUUGCCCGCCGCUCUCUUGAGCUCCUUGCUGGGCUCUCCUCAUUGACGCCCCUUUUUUCAUCUUUGUGGCUGCCUUGCCUGCGACCGACGGUAUGCGUCUCUCUCUGGUUUCUGUGCGACUGCAGCGCGCACAGGACUGAUAAACUUUCUUUCUGUUCCUCCUUGGUCGCCAGGCUCAGCACCGUCCCUCCUCCUCCUUCUCAUUCUCGCCUUUCCUUUGCUUUCUUCGCUUUUACCCCCUGCCCUCGCGCCUCACUCUCCUUUCUAUCUCAUCAUCGACAUUUUUUUUGUUUUCUUGUUUUGGUCUCGUCAUUGUCUGCCUUUCCGCCUCCCCCUUUUUGCUUUCUGCCGCCUUGGGCGUGCUCUCAUUUCCCUACGCACCCACCCGCCUCCCCCUCUCUUCUUUAGCGUGGAGUCUCCUAUUCUCAUCCGCUGCGCGUCUUCGCUGUUGUCACUGUACUGCAUGGCGGUACCUUUGCUUCCCUUUUCUUGCACGUGUGGGAUGCUUCAUUGUUCUUUUCCUCCACGACCCCACGAUGCAUAUACGACAUCCAUCCAUGCCUUCUUCCGCCUCGGUGCCCGUCUCUACCUCUCCCUUUCCUGGCACUGUUUUCGUUCCACCGCACCGCUAAACAUCUUCAUGGGCACCUAAGCCCGCCAAUUCUCUCUCUUGUCCUUCGGUGCUGGAAGCACACGUGACCAACACACGUGUGGGCGCGUCGAAUGGAGACAGGGUGCCGUUUUUAUUCUCUCGGGUCGCUUCAUGGCGGUGCGUUGAAGCGGCUAGAGUAUGUCGACUGGGGGCACCGACGACAGCGCGCGCCGGCGCAUGCGGGUAUUCUCGGCGCAUUCGAGAGCUUUCUGCGGCCGGUGCCUUUCCCGGAAAGAAGGGCAGCGGCUCAUAUGGCCUUCACCUUUCACAGACACCGAAAGAUAUUUCAUUUUCAUUUUCAUUUGCUGCUUUCUUAUCUACUGACUUUGACUUCAUAUCCACUCGUGCCUCUCUCUAUCUCUUCGGUGGCCCUUUUCUAG